rnacentral:rRNA from 1 species
GAUGAACGCUGGCGGCGUGCCUAAUACAUGCAAGUCGAGCGAACGGACGAGAAGCUUGCUUCUCUGAUGUUAGCGGCGGACGGGUGAGUAACACGUGGAUAACCUACCUAUAAGACUGGGAUAACUUCGGGAAACCGUAGCUAAUACCGGAUAAUAUUUUGAACCGCAUGGUUCAAAAGUGAAAGACGGUCUUGCUGUCACUUAUAGAUGUAUCCGCGCUGCAUUAGCUAGUUGGUAAGGUAACGGCUUACCAAGGCAACGAUGCAUAGCCGACCUGAGAGGGUGAUCGGCCACACUGGAACUGAGACACGGUCCAGACUCCUACGGGAGGCAGCAGUAGGGAAUCUUCCGCAAAGGGCGAAAGCCUGACGGAGCAACGCCGCGUGAGUGAUGAAGGUCUUCGGAUCGUAAAACUCUGUUAUUAGGGAAGAACAUAUGUGUAAGUAACUGUGCACAUCUUGACGGUACCUAAUCAGAAAGCCACGGCUAACUACGUG